rnacentral:sRNA from 1 species
AUUCUGCCCAAGCGGGGAAGGAUGAGAAGCUUCGACUAAGGUUCGACUCGAGCGCCAGCGAGAGAGCGUUGCCGCAGGCAACGACCCGAAGG